GUGGUGGCGAACUUCAGGGUACCACUGGACAGAGUUAAAGGCAAACAAAAAGAGAAGAGACAAAGAAGAAGACACAAAAUGGAGAGUUCUGCUCUCAGUAGUUCAACAAUAACACCAGAACUCGUGGCCUGUCUUCACCAAGGCACUGACACACGGAGCACAUAGCAUUCUGGAUGAAUCUGUGAGAAGGUGGCGGCAACAUGCCAAGGCGCCAGCAAUGUGCCAGCAAAGGCAGGGUAGAGGAAUACUGCAAGCUAGUCAACAUGAUUGUGCACAA